GACGGCUAGCUGCGGAGAGAAGCUACCUGCUCAAGAGUCUCCCUUUUGCUGAGAGCUGAGUAGAUGACGAAACAACCUGUGUGGAGAGAGGAGCUCCUCACUCCAGGGUCUCCUCUCUGCUCAGAGCUGAACACUCACUGGGACACCCUGGCUGUGGAGAGGAGCUACCCUCUGUGGGUCUCCUCUGAGCUGUUCUGUCACCCAAUAAAACUCCUCUUCACCUUGCUCACCCUCCACUUGUCUGUGUACCUCAUUCUUCCUAGAUGCAGGACAAGAACU
rnacentral:lncRNA from 1 species